UCCUCCUCCUCUCCGCUCAGGAGAGCCUCCACAGCUUUCUCCUCAGAUUGCUUUGGCGGUAACUGCUCUUAGUUUUUUAUUUUAGGUGUUUGUUAUGUAUUUUUUUUUAUUUGGUUGAGUGUUAUGUUAUGUAUUUUUUUUUUGUGUGAAUGUACAAAUUUGAAUAGGGCAUCAAAAUUUUAGGGCCACCAAUUUUUAUUUUUACUUAGUGCACUCGCGUGUGCGAGCGUGCACUCGUGUAUGCGUGCGUGCGUGUUUCCGUGUGCGUUAAAA
rnacentral:lncRNA from 1 species